UCUCUGUUAGUAUAGUGGUUAGUAUUUCCGCCUGUCAUCAUCACAUGAUAGUCCGCGGGAGACCAGGGUUCAAUUCCCUGACAGAGAG